UUCGCAAUGCCCGAAAGGGUGACGAAGCGACGCCGCGUGCGGGAAGAAGGCCUUCGGGUUGUAAACCGCUGUCGGGAGUUAAGAAAUGCAAGGGUGUUAACAGCACCCUUGCUUGACUAAGGCUCCGGAGGAAGCCACGGCUAACUCUGUGCCAGCAGCCGCGGUAAUACAGAGGCGGCAAGCGUUGUUCGGAAUUAUUGGGCGUAAAGAGCACGUAGGCGGCUGUGUAAGUCGGUUGUGAAAGCCUUCCGCUCAACGGGAGAACGGCAUCCGAUACUGCAUGGCUUGAGUGCGGGAGGGGAGAGUGGAACUUCUGGUGGAGCGGUGAAAUGCGUAGAUAUCAGAAGGAACACCGGCGGCGAAGGCGACUCUCUGGCCCGUAACUGACGCUGAGUGUGCGAAAGCUAGGGGAGCAAACGGGAUUAGAUACCCCGGUAGUCCUAGCCGUAAACGAUGGGCACUAAGUAGAGGGGUUUU
rnacentral:rRNA from 1 species